rnacentral:misc_RNA from 1 species
GAAAUGCGAUAAGUAAUGUGAAUUGCAGAAUUCAGUGAAUCAUCGAAUCUUUGAACGCACAUUGCGCCCCUUGGUAUUCCGGGGGGCAUGCCUGUUCGAGCGUCAUUACAACCCUCAAGCUCUGCUUGGAAUUGGGCACCGUCCUCACUGCGGACGCGCCUCAAAGACCUCGGCGGUGGCUGUUCAGCCCUCAAGCGUAGUAGAAUACACCUCGCUUUGGAGCGGUUGGCGUCGCCCGCCGGACGAACCUUCUGAACUUUUCUCAAGGUUGACCUCGGAUCAGGUAGGGAUACCCGCUGAACUUAAGC